rnacentral:lncRNA from 1 species
CUUGUCUGGUCCUGUUAAACUUUGUUAAGCUACUGUCGGUGGUUGUAAUGUGUUAGGACGUAGUGGUAGGGACAGGUUUUCGUUCCGUAGUCAGUCUCCGAUUGCGGAGGCUGGUCAGCGGGUUUCCUGUCCAGGUUAGGGUAAUUCUCUUUAUCUCGUCCGGUCGCACUAUCUACCCAGCUUGCUUGUUGAACUUUGUAUUUCCGUUAGUAAUAAUGAAAAGGGGAGACCCCA